GAUCAUGGCUCAGGAUGAACGCUGGCGGCGUGCUUAACACAUGCAAGUCGAACGGAACUACUUUGAUGAGAUUCUUCGGAAAGGAUUUGAUUUAGUUUAGUGGCGGACGGGUGAGUAACGCGUGGGUAACCUGCUCAUACAGGGGGAUAACAGUUGGAAACGGCUGUUAAUACCGCAUAAGCGCACAGUACCGCAUGGUACAGUGUGAAAAACUCCGGUGGUAUAAGAUGGACCCGCGUUGGAUUAGCUGG
rnacentral:rRNA from 1 species